rnacentral:rRNA from 1 species
UAGGGAAUUUUCCACAAUGGACGAAAGUCUGAUGGAGCAACGCCGCGUGCAGGAUGAAGGGCUUCGGUUCGUAAACUGCUUUUAUAUGUGACGAUUAUGACGGUAGCAUAUGAAUAAGGAUCGGCUAAUUCCGUGCCAGCAGCCGCGGUCAUACGGAAGAUCCAAGCGUUAUCCGGAAUUACUGGGCGUAAAGAGUUGCGUAGGUGGCAUAGUAAGUAGAUAGUGAAAUGAUGCGGCUCAACCGCAUGCCCAUUAUCUAAACUACUAAGCUAGAGGGCGAGAGAGGUUACUAGAAUUUCUUGUGUAGGAGUGAAAUCCGUAGAUAUAAGAAGGAAUACCGAUGGCGUAGGCAGGUAACUGGCUCGUCCCUGACACUAAGGCACGAAAGCGUGGGGAGCGACCG